UACGUAGGGUGCGAGCGUUAAUCGGAAUUACUGGGCGUAAAGCGUGCGCAGGCGGUGGCUCAAGCCAGGCGUGAAAUCCCCGGGCUUAACCUGGGAAUGGCGUUUGGGACUGGGUCGCUAGAGUGUGGCAGAGGGGAGGUGGAAUUCCACGUGUAGCAGUGAAAUGCGUAGAUAUCGGGGAGGAACACCAGAGGCGAAGGCGGCCACCUCGGACAGAGAUUGACGCUGAGACGCGAAAGCGUGGGGAGCAAACAGG
rnacentral:rRNA from 1 species